GUUCUUGUAGUUAAAUUUAUAACGACAGUUUUUCAGGCUGUAGAUCUUAGAGAGAGGCUGAGCAAGAACU
rnacentral:tRNA from 1 species